rnacentral:rRNA from 1 species
UGGGGAAUUUUGGACAAUGGGCGAAAGCCUGAUCCAGCAAUGCCGCGUGUGUGAAGAAGGCCUUCGGGUUGUAAAGCACUUUUGUCCGGAAAGAAAUCCUUGGCUCUAAUACAGUCGGGGGAUGACGGUACCGGAAGAAUAAGCACCGGCUAACUACGUGCCAGCAGCCGCGGUAAUACGUAGGGUGCAAGCGUUAAUCGGAAUUACUGGGCGUAAAGCGUGCGCAGGCGGUUUGCUAAGACCGAUGUGAAAUCCCCGGGCUCAACCUGGGAACUGCAUUGGUGACUGGCAGGCUAGAGUAUGGCAGAGGGGGGUAGAAUUCCACGUGUGAGCAGUGAAAUGCGUAGAGAUGUGGAGGAAUACCGAUGGCGAAGGCAGCCCCCAUGGGCCAAUACUGACGCUCAUGCACGAAAGCGU